rnacentral:lncRNA from 1 species
AGUGUCUGCCACCCGCCCCUGGCGGCGGCGCAGCUGGUCCUCCGCGCAACUUCCGGGUGUGCGCUGCUGGGUGCUCAAAACAAAGUGCCCCCCGUGCAGCGCACGCCACCAUCGCCACAUCCGGCGACUGCUGAGUCCAACUGGAUUUCCUAGGCCAUCGAAGAUAUUCAGUGCAUCUUCUUGCAGAACUCUUACACUCCUCUAACCUGUGCCCCCAUUCUGAGCCAGCCAGUGAUUAGGCCCAAGCUCUAGGAAGUGACCAGAGGAGGUGCGGACCGGUAAAGUGGAGACACCGGAGACCCGGAAGUGGAGCUGGGGCGAGAGGGGGCGGUUGCGCGUGCAAGGGCGGAAUCGCCCGCGGCGGUUCCUUGGGUGGUCGCCAGCCCUAGGGAUUAAAAGUGGUAGCAUAAAGACCAGCAGAAAAUAUGGCUUCUUUAGACUCUGGAAUCAAGAUACCAGGAAAACAGUAACUUAGAGAAGAGAAAAAGAAGUAGAGCUUCAGGAAUCAAGAAAGAGG